rnacentral:rRNA from 1 species
GACGAACGCUGGCGGCGUGCUUAACACAUGCAAGUCGAACGGAAAGGCCCUGCUUUUGUGGGGUGCUCGAGUGGCGAACGGGUGAGUAACACGUGAGUAACCUGCCCUUGACUUUGGGAUACUUCAGGAAACUGGGGCUAAUACCGGAUAGGAGCUCCUGCUGCAUGGUGGGGGGUGGAAAGUUUCGGCGGUUGGGGAUGGACUCGCGGCUUAUCAGCUUGUUGGUGGGGUAGUGGCUUACCAAGGCUUUGACGGGUAGCCGGCCUGAGAGGGUGACCGGCCACAUUGGGACUGAGAUACGGCCCAGACUCCUACGGGAGGCAGCAGUGGGGAAUAUUGCACAAUGGGCGGAAGCCUGAUGCAGCAACGCCGCGUGCGGGAUGACGGCCUUCGGGUUGUAAACCGCUUUCGCCUGUGACGAAGCGUGAGUGACGGUAAUGGGUAAAGAAGCACCGGCUAACUACGUG